UGGGGAAUAUUGCACAAUGGGCGCAAGCCUGAUGCAGCCAUGCCGCGUGUAUGAAGAAGGCCUUCGGGUUGUAAAGUACUUUCAGCGGGGAGGAAGGGAGUAAAGUUAAUACCUUUGCUCAUUGACGUUACCCGCAGAAGAAGCACCGGCUAACUCCGUGCCAGCAGCCGCGGUAAUACGGAGGGUGCAAGCGUUAAUCGGAAUUACUGGGCGUAAAGCGCACGCAGGCGGUUUGUUAAGUCAGAUGUGAAAUCCCCGGGCUCAACCUGGGAACUGCAUCUGAUACUGGCAAGCUUGAGUCUCGUAGAGGGGGGUAGAAUUCCAGGUGUAGCGGUGAAAUGCGUAGAGAUCUGGAGGAAUACCGGUGGCGAAGGCGGCCCCCUGGACGAGGACUAACGCUCAGGUGCGAAAGCGUGGGGAGCAAACAGG
rnacentral:rRNA from 1 species